UUCUACAGCCAUACUACCCUGAACGUGCCGGAUCUCAUCUGAUCUUGGAAGCUAAGCGGGGUUGGGCCUGGUUAGUACUUAGAUGGAAGACAUUGGCCUAGGCAAAGAAU
rnacentral:rRNA from 1 species